CCGGGUAGAGCGCCGUGGUAAAGAAGCUGUUGGUUCCGAAAUGCGAAUGCUAACAAGCUAGGGACAACAUGUAGCGACGCUCAAGUACAAUCCUCUAUCUAAGUUAUUUAUCUACACAUUAAACAGUAAUUAGCGCAAAUUAGCAUGUGUAUAUUUAAGAUGUUAAUCAUGAGUCGUCUCAAGAAGAAAAGGGCAACGUCACGUGACUGACAUUCAGGCGCGGGAGUGGGUUUCUCGCUGGUAACAGCUUGGCAAGUUUCAAACCUUUGAGAUUUUUUUUAUUAUUAUUUCUUUUUUCGUUAAGACUUCGUCCGUGUUGUGUGUAUUUUAGCUCCAUUCCUGAUUCAUUUUGAAGUUGCGUGGCUGCUAAAGCGGUGUUGCUAACGACCACAACAAGUUGACGAUGGGUCAGGAAAGAAGUUGACAAGGCAAAGUAGCCUCGAUGAAGUGUGCUAUGUAGACUGUUACUGCACGCAGCUCCUCGGCUUUAUUUGUUAGCAGCGUUAGCUUGCUUCGGUUGUAGCAUGGGGCUGACAAGGCGAAAUUGAAAGGAGGAAGAUAAAGUCCUCUUCGUCAUUAUGGAUCACAAGCAGCAUGUGGAGCACUGCAGCGACAGUGAGGACUUUUUUGGGGACUAUGACAGUCUCCUGGAGGACCCGUCCCUGCUGGCCAAACUGGAGAAGGUGGAGUGCGCUGAAAGUGACAAGAUGGCGUCUGUGCCACCUGCAAAGGACAAGGACCUCUUCACUGACUCCAUCUUGGACGGUCUUGAUGAGGACCUCCUCCAGGAGUCCUUGCCGUCCAGCCAGCAGGAGUUUGUCCAACAAGAAGCCAAGAGGAGCAAAGUGCACGGCGGAGACGCAAGCGGCGUCUUCCAGAGUGGAGGACGAGAGGACCAGAAGAGGAGGAGUGUGAGCGAGCGCCUGAAGAGGACCAUGCGGUGCAAUGCUGCCGCGCCCGCCAGCCUUUCCCGCUCCUUGGCGCUGAAGGAGGCGGUGCUUAGCGAUGAGAUCAGCGAUGCCGUGCACGCCAUGGAGGUUGUCUCCGCCCACACCACCGAUCUGGGACCUUUUUUUGGACUCCCCACCAAAGUGAAAGACCUCCUCUCCAAACUGAGGGGAAUCAACAGCCUCUAUGCGUGGCAGGAGACGUGCUUGACGUUGGAGUGCGUGCAGCAGAGGAGGAACCUGAUCUACACCCUGCCCACCAGCGGAGGCAAAACGCUGGUGGCGGAGCUGCUCAUCCUCAGAGAAGUAGUGUGCAGGAAGAAGGACUGCAUGUUCAUCCUGCCUUACGUCUCUCUGGUCCAAGAGAAGGUUCGCGGUCUGGCUGCUUUUGGUCUGGAGCUGGACUUCCUGGUGGAGGAGUACGCCGGCAGUAAGGGCAAGUUCCCGCCUGUCAAGAGGAGAGGAGGUCAAAGGUCGCUGUACAUCGCAACCAUUGAGAAAGCUCACAGCCUCGUCAAUGGGCUCAUCGAAAGCGGCCGCUUGGACUGCGUGGGCCUGCUGGUGGUGGAUGAGCUUCACAUGCUGGGAGACGGCAGCAGAGGAGCACUCCUGGAGAUCACCCUCGCCAAAGUCUCCUACCUCAGCCGCCACACCCAGAUCAUCGGCAUGAGCGCCACCUUGGGGAACAUCAGCGAGCUGCAAACCUUUCUCAACGCUGAAAACUACAAUGAUGACUUCAGACCCGUCCAGCUGAGGGAGUAUGUGAAAGUGGGAGAUGGUAUCUAUGAGGUGGACCCCAAAGAGGACGAUGGCUUUCGAUUGUGUCGUCGUGUCGCGGUGAAGUACUCCAGCGCCAUGCAGAAGGCGGACCCAGACCACAUCGUGGCCCUGGUGACGGAGGUGAUUCCACGCCAUUCCUGCCUGCUCUUCUGUCCCACCAAGAAGAACUGUGAGAAUGUAGCCGUCAUGAUCUGCAAGUACCUCAGAGAGGACUUCCUCCGACAGCGGCAGGCCGAGAAGGAGGCGCUUCUCCGAGAGCUGAAGGACAGCGGGAACGGUUCCGUGUGUACGGUUCUGAGAAGGACGGUUCCGUACGGAGUGGCGUACCAUCACAGCGGACUGACCGGCGAGGAGAGGAAGCUCCUGGAGGACGCCUACUCGGACGGCGUCCUUUGUCUGCUCACCUGCACCUCCACCUUGGCGGCCGGAAUCAACCUGCCGGCCCGCAGGGUGAUACUGCGCUCGCCACACGUGGCCGGCGACCUGAUGAAGACCAGCCAGUACAAGCAGAUGGCGGGACGCGCCGGACGAGCAGGUCUGGACCGCGAGGGCGAGAGCAUCCUCAUCGUGCAGGACAAGGAGCGCUUCAAGGCCAGGGCGCUGGUGUGUGCCCCCGUGGAGAAAUGUCACAGCUGCCUGCUGGCCGACGACCGAAAAAGUCUCCUCAAUCUCAUCCUGUCACUCGUGGGCCUAAAAGUGAGCACAGGCGUGGAAGAGCUGCAGGAGUUCCUGCGAGGGACGCUGCUGUUUGUUCAACAGGAGCAGUUGUGUGGACAGGCCAGUCUGGACGCCGUCCUCCAGCAGGGUGUCCAACUCCUUCAGGUCAAAGGUCUCCUCCACACGCAGGGUGAUGUCUUGCACGUCACACGUUUGGGGAGGGCCACCUUUAAAGGUUCCGUGGACCUCAGCCACAGCCAAGUUCUCUACCAGGACCUGAGCAACGGCCUAGAAGGUCUGCUCCUCAGCAGCUACCUGCACCUGGUCUUCCUGGUCACGCCCUACGACAUGACGCUGCAGUGUGUGCCCGACUGGAUGACCUUCUACGCCCAGAUGGCGUCGUUGUCGGCUGCUGAACAGAGGAUGUGUGCGCUCGUCGGCGUUCCUGAGAGUCUGGUGGCGAGGAAAGCUGCGGGACAGGCGGUGAAAAAGAGUGCCAACAUGGCGGCAGUGAAGCGCAUGUACCUGGCGCUGGUGCUCAUGGCGCUGCUGAGGGAGAAUGACCUGUGGGGCGUGGCACACAAGUUCCAGCUGAGUCGUGGCUUCGUCCAAUCACUGCUCAGUUCCGCUGCCGCCUUCUGCUCGUGUGUGUUCCACUUCACUCAGGAGUUGGAUGAGCUGUGGCCGUUCUGCUCGUUGUUUGAGGCGCUAACGAGGCGUCUGAGCUACUGUGUGAGGGCGGAGCUUAUCCCUCUGAUGGAGGUGGUGGGAGUCAUGGAGGUCAGAAUCGUGCCCGCCUGCCGCAUCGCCUUUUACAUGUCUUUCAUUCUGUGUGUGUGUGUGUGUGUUCGCGUGCCAAGCAACUGCACGCCGCUGGUUACAAGACGUUGACCCACCUGGCCAACGCUGACCCCGCCCUCCUGGUCAGGACCAUUGUGCACUUGAACAGGAAGCAAGCCAAUCAGAUGGUGGCCUCGGCCAAAAUGCUUCUCAACAAGAAGGCGGCGGCGCUGCAACAGGAAGUAGACGAGCUGCUCACACCACCGGCUGACCUGCCGCCGCCUCCGAGGCUGGACGAGCGUUGACCUGUCACCACGUCACAACUUCACCAUGUCAUUCAAUCUCAGUACAAUAAAAGCUUUUAUUUAGCAA